ACCAAGUCUACGAUCUAUAGCUGGUUUUAGAGGAUGAUCAGCAACACUGGGACUGAGACACGGCCCAGACUCCUACGGGAGGCAGCAGUGGGGAAUCUUAGACAAUGGGCGCAAGCCUGAUCUAGCCAUGCCGCGUGUGUGAUGAAGGUCUUAGGAUCGUAAAGCACUUUCGCCAGGGAUGAUAAUGACAGUACCU
rnacentral:rRNA from 1 species